rfam:Solanum tuberosum cultivar DM 1-3 516 R44 scf00335_3, whole genome shotgun sequence.
GAGAGCACAGUACAACGGAGAGUUGUAUGUUGUGUUCGGGAAGGAUGAAUUGCUCCCAAAAAGAAAUCUAUUGAUUCUCUCCUAAUUGGUUGGACCGUAGGUGCGAUGAUUUACUUCAC